GAGAGUAUAGCUCAGUGGUAGAGCGCAUGCUUAGCAUGCACCAGGUCCUGGGUUCAAUCCCCAGUACCUCCA
rnacentral:tRNA from 1 species